UACAGAGGGUGCAAGCGUUUAAUCGGAAUUACUGGGCGUAAAGCGUGCGUAGACGGUUGCGUAAGUCAGAUGUGAAAGCCCCGGGCUCAACCUGGGAAUUGCAUUUGAGACUGCGUAGCUAGGGUGCGGAAGAGGGAAGCGGAAUUUCCGGUGUAGCGGUGAAAUGCGUAGAUAUCGGAAGGAACACCAGUGGCGAAAGCGGCUUCCUGGUCCAGCACCGACGUUCAGGCACGAAGCGUGGGGAGCAAACAGGAUUAGAU
rnacentral:rRNA from 1 species